GCGCGAUCGCCUUGAGUUUGAUAUGGCUCAGGAUGAACGCUAGCGGCAGGCUUAAUACAUGCAAGUCGAGGGGCAGCAUGGUGUAGCAAUACACUGAUGGCGACCGGCAAACGGGUGCGGAACACGUACACAACCUUCCUUUAAGCGGGGGAUAGCCCAGAGAAAUUUGGAUUAAUACCCCAUAGAAUGGUGAUGAGGCAUCUCAUUAUCAUUAAAGAUUUAUCACUUGAAGAUGGGUGUGCGUCUGAUUAGGUAGUUGGCGGGGUAACGGCCCACCAAGCCAUCGAUCAGUAACUGGUGUGAGAGCACGACCAGUCACACGGGCACUGAGACACGGGCCCGACUCCUACGGGAGGCAGCAGUAAGGAAUAUUGGUCAAUGGACGCAAGUCUGAACCAGCCAUGCCGCGUGGAGGAUGAAGGUCCUCUGGAUUGUAAACUUCUUUUAUUUGGGAAGAAAUGCAUCUUUUCUAAGGUGUUUGACGGUACCAGAUGAAUAAGCACCGGCUAACUCCGUGCCAGCAGCCGCGGUAAUACGGAGGGUGCAAGCGUUAUCCGGAUUCACUGGGUUUAAAGGGUGCGUAGGUGGGCAGUUAAGUCAGUGGUGAAAUCUCCGGGCUCAACCCGGAAACUGCCAUUGAUACUAUCUGUCUUGAAUAUCGUUGAGGUAAGCGGAAUAUGUCAUGUAGCGGUGAAAUGCUUAGAUAUGACAUAGAACACCAAUUGCGAAGGCAGCUUGCUAACCGAAUAUUGACACUGAGGCACGAAAGC
rnacentral:rRNA from 1 species